rnacentral:lncRNA from 1 species
CUAGGUGAUUCUCUGUGGUCCUGUAAUAGGACCUGGACAUCACUACUAAGCUAGGUGAUUCUCUGUGGUCCUGUAAUAGGACCUGGACAUCACUACUAUGCUAGGUGAUUCUCUGUGGUCCUGUAAUAGGACCUGGACAUCACUACUAAGCUAGGUGAUUCUCUGUGGUCCUGUAAUAGGACCUGGACAUCACUACUAAGCUAGGUGAUUCUCUGUGGUCCUGUAAUAGGACCUGGACAUCACUACUAAGCUAGGUGAUUCUCUGUGGUCCUGUAAUAAGACCAGGACAUCACUACUAAGCUAGGUGAUUCUCUGUGGUCCUGUAAUAGGACCUGGACAUCACUACUAAGCUAGGUGAUUGUCUGUGGCCCUGUAAUAGGACCAGGACAUCACUACUAAGCUAGGUGAUUCUCUGUGGUCCUGUAAUAGGACCUGGACAUCACUACUAAGCAAGGUGAUUCUCUGUGGUCGUGUAAUAGGACCUGGACAUCACUACUAAGCUAGGUGAUUCUCUGUGGUCCUGUAAUAGGACCUGGACAUCACUACUAAGCUAGGUGAUUCUCUGUGGUCC